GGUCUGUUGGGAAGGCAUCAUCCCAACCCUCUACCAUCAAUGAGCAGGAGCAGAGAAUGAAGAGGUUGGAAAAGCUCAAAAGGGAACUCCAGAAGAUCAAAAAUGAGAGAGAUGAAUUCUGGGGAAUCCUGGCCCGUUACACUAAUGAGGAUUUGAACAGGGAUUUGAGACUUUCAUGUUGGAGAUGCAGCACCACCUGGUGAUGACCGACCACAAGAAGAUGCGCCAGGAGAUCUGUGAGGUCUUGUACAAGUGCAAGGAGACGACUAUAGAAAAUUAAUUUUACAUCAGACACUGCCAUGUCCUGAGUGUAUCUAACCACCUCCAGCACAAAGUAAACAUAUUGUGGAGUGAGAACAGACAGUUGCUAAGGGAGCAGAUUGCACUAGAAGA
rnacentral:lncRNA from 1 species